AAAAUCUUUGAUUCUUAAUCUUAUAGUCAAGCAGAAGGGGUCUACGAAAAAAAGAUCAAAAGAAGAGGCUUUAUUCAUACAGGAUACUGAGAAGAAGGCGUUGGAAUCAGAGUGUCAGGAACUGCGGGAACGACUUGACAGAACAGUCUCAGAACUGG